rnacentral:rRNA from 1 species
AUUGAACGCUGGCGGAAUGCUUUACACAUGCAAGUCGAACGGCAGCACGGACUUCGGUCUGGUGGCGAGUGGCGAACGGGCGAGUAAUAUAUCGGAACGUGCCCAGUCGUGGGGGAUAACGUAGCGAAAGCUACGCUAAUACCGCAUACGAUCUACGGAGGAAAGCGGGGGAUCGCAAGACCUCGCGCGAUUGGAGCGGGCGAUAUCAGAUUAGGUAGUUGGGGAGGUAAAGGCUCACCAAGCCGACGAUCUGUAGCUGGUCUGAGAGGACGACCAGCCACACUGGGACUGAGACACGGCCCAGACUCCUACGGGAGGCAGCAGUGGGGAAUUUUGGACAAUGGACGCAAGUCUGAUCCAGCCAUUCCGCGUGCAGGACGAAGGCCUUCGGGUUGUAAACUGCUUUUGUACAGAACGAAAAGGUCUCUAUUAAUACUAGGGGCUCAUGACGGUACUGUAAGAAUAAGCACCGGCUAACUACGUGCCAGCAGCCGCCGUAA